rnacentral:rRNA from 1 species
UACGGGGGGGGGGCAAGCGUUGUUCGGAAUUACUGGGCGUAAAGGGCUCGUAGGCGGCCAACUAAGUCAGACGUGAAAUCCCUCGGCUUAACCGGGGAACUGCGUCUGAUACUGGAUGGCUUGAGUUUGGGAGAGGGAUGCGGAAUUCCAGGUGUAGCGGUGAAAUGCGUAGAUAUCUGGAGGAACACCGGUGGCGAAGGCGGCAUCCUGGACCAACACUGACGCUGAGGAGCGAAAGCCAGGGGGAGCAAAACGGG